rnacentral:rRNA from 1 species
AUGUCCGGAGCUGCGCCAUGGACGUCUCCUUCGACUAGUGUUACCGGUUCGAGCGGGGAAGCACUACAGUGCCGGGAUCGACGCGUCUUCCUCGCCUAUGACCGCCACUGCCCCGCGCCCGAUCCUACCUCACCGGAGCUCCUCCGCCACGCCGGCCGCGCCCUCCGCUCCCCCCACUUCGAGACUGACGCCGAUAUUGCCCCUAUGAUCGACUACAUCACCGACGACUCUUCUUCCUUUGCAGCAGAGCUUCCAGAUGGUGGAGCCCAGGAUCCAGACGCCACCUUCGACGACGACUGCUACUACACUGAGGGUGCCUACUACUACGUGGAGGCCGCCGCCGACUAG